rnacentral:rRNA from 1 species
AUGAUGAACGCUAGCGACAGGCUUAACACAUGCAAGUCGAGGGGCAGCGGGGGUAGCGAUACCCGCCGGCGACCGGCGCACGGGUGAGUAACGCGUAUGCAACUUGCCUAUCAGAGGGGGAUAACCCGGCGAAAGUCGGACUAAUACCGCAUGAAGCAGGGGCCCCGCAUGGGGAUAUUUGCUAAAGAUUCAUCGCUGAUAGAUAGGCAUGCGUUCCAUUAGGCAGUUGGCGGGGUAACGGCCCACCAAACCGACGAUGGAUAGGGGUUCUGAGAGGAAGGUCCCCCACAUUGGUACUGAGACACGGACCAAACUCCUACGGGAGGCAGCAGUGAGGAAUAUUGGUCAAUGGCCGAGAGGCUGAACCAGCCAAGUCGCGUGAGGGAUGAAGGUUCUAUGGAUCGUAAACCUCUUUUAUAAGGGAAUAAAGUGCGGGACGUGUCCCGUUUUGUAUGUACCUUAUGAAUAAGGAUCGGCUAACUCCGUGCCAGCAGCCGCGGUAAUACGGAGGAUCCGAGCGUUAUCCGGAUUUAUUGGGUUUAAAGGGUGCGUAGGCGGCCUUUUAAGUCAGCGGUGAAAGUCUGUGGCUCAACCAUAGAAUUGCCGUUGAAACUGGGGGGCUUGAGUAUGUUUGAGGCAGGCGGAAUGCGUGGUGUAGCGGUGAAAUGCAUAGAUAUCACGCAGAACCCCGAUUGCGAAGGCAGCCUGCCAAGCCAUUACUGACGCUGAUGCACGAAAGCGUGGGGAUCAAACAGGAUUAGAUACCCUGGUAGUCCACGCAGUAAACGAUGAUCACUAGCUGUUUGCGAUACACUGUAAGCGGCACAGCGAAAGCGUUAAGUGAUCCACCUGGGGAGUACGCCGGCAACGGUGAAACUCAAAGGAAUUGACGGGGGCCCGCACAAGCGGAGGAACAUGUGGUUUAAUUCGAUGAUACGCGAGGAACCUUACCCGGGUUUGAACGCAUUCGGACCGAGGUGGAAACACCUUUUCUAGCAAUAGCCGUUUGCGAGGUGCUGCAUGGUUGUCGUCAGCUCGUGCCGUGAGGUGUCGGCUUAAGUGCCAUAACGAGCGCAACCCUUGCCACUAGUUACUAACAGGUAAAGCUGAGGACUCUGGUGGGACUGCCAGCGUAAGCUGCGAGGAAGGCGGGGAUGACGUCAAAUCAGCACGGCCCUUACAUCCGGGGCGACACACGUGUUACAAUGGCGUGGACAAAGGGAGGCCACCUGGCGACAGGGAGCGAAUCCCCAAACCACGUCUCAGUUCGGAUCGGAGUCUGCAACCCGACUCCGUGAAGCUGGAUUCGCUAGUAAUCGCGCAUCAGCCAUGGCGCGGUGAAUACGUUCCCGGGCCUUGUACACACCGCCCGUCAAGCCAUGGGAGCCGGGGGUACAUGAAGUCCGUAACCGAAAGGAUCGGCCUAGGGU